GACGAACGCUGGCGGCGUGCCUAAUACAUGCAAGUCGAACGCUUCUUUCCUCCCGAGUGCUUGCACUCAAUUGGAAAGAGGAGUGGCGGACGGGUGAGUAACACGUGGGUAACCUACCCAUCAGAGGGGGAUAACACUUGGAAACAGGUGCUAAUACCGCAUAACAGUUUAUGCCGCAUGGCAUAAGAGUGAAAGGUGCUUUCGGGUGUCGCUGAUGGAUGGACCCGCGGUGCAUUGGCUAGUUGGUGAGGUAACGGCUCACCAAGGCCACGAUGCAUAGCCGACCUGAGAGGGUGAUCGGCCACACUGGGACUGAGACACGGCCCAGACUCCUACGGGAGGCAGCAGUAGGGAAUCUUCGGCAAUGGACGAAAGUCUGACCGAGCAACGCCGCGUGAGUGAAGAAGGUUUUCGGAUCGUAAAACUCUGUUGUUAGAGAAGAACAAGGACGUUAGUAACUGAACGUCCCCUGACGGUAUCUAACCAGAAAGCCACGGCUAACUACGUG
rnacentral:rRNA from 1 species